AGUGGAGCUGAGACAGGAAAGGGAAGGGCGCGGGCGGCUGCGCCGAAGCCCCUCACGCUCCCCUGCACCCCUCCCUCCCGGCCGCACCUCGAGCUCCUUUCCUUUCUCCCCUUCCCCCGCCCCGAGCCCACUCCUCUCCGUGCCUCGAUCCCGGUACCGCGGCGGGGGCGGGACCGCGAAACCCCGGCUCUAAGCCCGGACGCCCCAGGGAUGCUGCGGGCCCCCCGGAGCUGCUUACCUGGGGCCGCGGCACCAGGAGCGGGCGCGGCGCGGCUCCUCCUCGCCUCCGCGCCCUCCUUCUCCGCUUCUCCCCGGACUCUGUCCUGGGCGCCGAGCUCUGAGACCGGGCCGGGCUGCAGCCGCCUUCCCCGCCGUCGCCUCGGCCGCCGCUGCUGCAGACAGAGGACGCCCAGUGGCGGCUGGAAGCCCGUAGCACAAGUUCCCAAAGUAAAACAACUCCCCACUCUGCCUAUCCCACUCUGCCAAUCCAAGAGACCAGGACAUCUGGCAUCACUCUUGAAAUCUAAAGAACUGACAAGAAGAAGGAAGGAAAGAAAACAAGAUGCUGCAAGUUUAUGUCUAUAGAUCCACCUUGGACUGAGAAGGUGUCUUAGGCAGGAAAAGAUUUCUGAAAUGGAGACGACAGUCUGGGAGAGAAGAAACAAGAUUUUUUUAUUGUGAUAAAAGAUCUUUAGUUAAAGAUUUUGUUUUUAUUGUAUGUGUGUUUGUGGGAGAGAGACCUAAGCUACCUGCUAUGGACUGAAUGUUUGCGUCCCCCCAAAAAUUCAUAUGUGGAAGACUAAUCCCCAAAUUGAUAGUAUUGGUAUUAGGAGAUGGGGCCUUUGGGAGGUAAUUAGGUCAUGAGGAUGGAGCCCUCAUGAAUGGGAUUAGUGCCCUUACAAGAAGAGACAAGAGAACUUGUUCUUUGCCAUGUGAGACUAAGACAAGAAGAUAGCCAUCUGCAAGCCAUGAAGGGAGUCUUCACAAGACCCUGGAUCUACCAACACCUUGAUCGUGGACCUCCCAGCCUUCGUAACUGUGCAAAUAAAUGUUUUUGUUUAAGUCACCAAGUCUGUGGUAUUCUGUUAUAUGAGCCUUAACUAUAGCACUACCUCAGGAGUUACUGUAGUGGUGGUUGUCUUUUACCCCAACUUUGGCAAAGGGGCCAUGCUGUAAUCUGUUCUUGUACUAGAAGACUAUUAGGAUUUCCAGGAAAUCAUUAAAGUUUUGCUACAACCAUGCAUAAUUAUGUGAUUGUGUAUGUGUUUUACUUAUACAGUCUUCUCAUUAAUUAGACAUUUAACUAGAAUCUUAUUUCAUUCUUUAGAAAAGAGAUGUCAAUUAUGACUUUAUAUUUGGGUUAUGUUUCUCUAAAGCUAUUUUCACUCUCUUUUUA
ensembl:lncRNA